UUUGGUCAUUUAGAGGAAGUAAAAGUCGUAACAAGGUUUCCGUAGGUGAACCUGCGGAAGGAUCAUUAAUGAGAACGUGCCCUUCGGGGUAGAUCUCCCACCCUGUGUUUACACUACCUUUGUUGCUUUGGCAGGCCCGCCCUCGGGCCGCCGGCUCCGGCUGGCCAGCGUCUGCCAGAGGAUUCAAAACUCUUUGUUAUUUUUGCCGUCUGAGUACUAUACAAUAGUUAAAACUUUCAACAACGGAUCUCUUGGUUCUGGCAUCGAUGAAGAACGCAGCGAAAUGCGAUAAGUAAUGUGAAUUGCAGAAUUCAGUGAAUCAUCGAAUCUUUGAACGCACAUUGCGCCCUCUGGUAUUCCGGGGGGCAUGCCUGUUCGAGCGUCAUUACAACCCUCAAGCUCAGCUUGAUAUUGGGCCUCGCCGGUUCCGGCGGGCCUCAAAGUCAGUGGCGGUGCCAUCCGGCUUCAAGCGUAGUAACACUCUCGCUUCUGGAGACCCGGGUGCGUGCUUGCCAGCAACCCCAAUUUUCUCAAGGUUGACCUCGGAUCAGGUAGGGAUACCCGCUGAACUUAAGCAUAUCAAUAAGCGGAGGA
rnacentral:rRNA from 1 species